GAAUAUCUUCGGGGCAGGGUGAAAUUCCCGACCGGCGGUAAAGCCCGCGAGCCGAAAGGCUGACCUGGUGAAAUUCCAGGGCCGACAGUUAAAGUCUGGAUGGGAGAAGGUAUUA
rnacentral:ncRNA from 2 species